GGCCUGAACAGCUUUUGAGAAGAACUCAGUUAAUGGAGCGAUGGGCUAGAUGGGAGAUUAGCAAUUUUGAAUACUUAAUGCAGCUUAACACGUUGGCUGGCCGUAGUUAUAAUGACAUUACUCAGUAUCCUGUUUUUCCGUGGAUUAUUUCUGACAACAGUUCAGAAAGUCUAGACCUUUCAAAUCCAUCUACCUUCAGAGAUCUUUCGAAGCCAAUUGGUGCAUUGAACCCAGAGCGUCUCAAAAAAUUUCAAGAGCGAUAUUCUAGCUUUGAAGAUCCAGUUAUUCCCAAAUUCCACUAUGGCUCACAUUACUCAAGUGCUGGAGCAGUGUUGUAUUAUCUGGCCAGAGUUGAACCGUUCACAACUCUGUCAAUUCAACUUCAAGGUGGAAAGUUUGAUCAUGCAGACCGCAUGUUUUCAGACAUUCCAGGCACUUGGAAUGGAGUUCUAGAAGACAUGAGUGAUGUGAAAGAAUUGGUUCCAGAGUUGUUUUACCUCCCUGAGGUGCUGACAAACGAAAAUUCGAUUGACUUUGGUACAACACAGUUGGGAGAAAAGCUUGAUGCUGUAAAACUUCCUCCUUGGGCCAAAAACCCAGUGGAUUUUGUACACAAGCAACGAAGGGCUCUUGAGAGCGAGCAUGUAUCUGCACAUUUACAUGAAUGGAUUGAUCUCAUAUUUGGAUAUAAACAACGUGGCAAAGAAGCUAUAUUGGCAAAUAACGUUUUCUUCUACAUUACUUAUGAGGGGACUGUUGAUAUUGACAAGAUCACGGACCCGGUACAACAACGUGCUACACAAGACCAGAUAGCUUAUUUUGGGCAAACACCAUCCCAGCUAUUGACUGUUCCUCACAUGAAGAGGAUGCCGUUGAAAGAUGUGCUACAUAUGCAGACUAUUUUUCGAAAUCCAAAAGAAAUAAAACCGUAUGCUGUCCAAGCUCCGGAACGCUGCAACUUACCGGCCUCAGCUAUUCAGGCAUCUUCAGAUAGUGUUGUGAUUGUGGACAUGAAUGUGCCAGCAGCUCGUGUUGCACAGCACAAGUGGCAACCAAACACCCCUGAUGGCCAAGGUACUCCUUUCCUCUUUCAUCAUGGGAAGGCAACAGCGACUUCAACUAGUGGAUCAUUGAUGCGCAUGUUCAAGGGUCCAGCUAGUUCUGGAACUGGUGACUGGCAAUUUCCUCAGGCACAGGCAUUUGCCGCAUCAGGAAUCAGAAGUUCCUCCGUUGUUGGUAUUACAAGCGACGGGGAAAUAAUCACAGGUGGACAUGCGGAUAACAGUAUCAAGCUGGUCUCAUCUGAUGGAGCAAAAACUCUGGAAACAGCUUUUGGGCACUGUGCCCCUGUUACAUGUCUGGCUCUGUCUCCAGACAACAACUUCCUUGUGACGGGUUCACGAGACAGUACUGUUUUGCUGUGGAGAAUUCACAAGGCCUUUACUUCUCGAACAAGCGUGUCUGAGCCAUCAACUGGCUCCGGGGCGCCCUCCUCCGCCAGCAACACGAAUCUGGCCAACUCAUUGGCAAACAAAGGCAAAAAGUGUCGUAUUGAAGGGCCGAUACAAGUGCUCCGUGGCCAUCGAAGAGAAAUAAUUUGUUGUUGUGUCAGCUCAGAUCAAGGAGUCGUUGUUUCGUCUUCUGAGUCCUCAGAUGUUCUAUUGCAUUCCAUUAGAAAAGGACGGCUGAUCAGACGAUUAGUUGGUGUGACCGCUGAUUCUCUCUGCAUUUCAUCUGAUGGGAUUAUAAUGGCAUGGAUGAGUUUGGAAGGUUCUAUUAGCGUGUUCACCAUUAACGGGGUUCUGAUCGCAAAAGCAAAACUUCCUUUCUCUUGUAGCAUAAGUUGCAUGGAAAUAUCUAUGGAUGGUCAAAAUGCGUUGAUUGGGAUGAACUCAUGUUCCAGCAUGGACUUGUCGAGCAGUAACGAUACAUCAAAAGAUGGCAACGAAAUUGAAAGACUAGAUGUUCCAUCUCCUUCAAUUUGCUUCCUCAACUUAUACACACUAAAGGUAUUCCAUGUGCUUAAGCUUGGUCAAGGCCAGGAUAUAAGCGCACUGACUCUGAACAUUGACAACACAAACCUAUUAGUAUCCACGGAAGAUAAACAGUUGAUAAUCUUCACUGAUCCAGCUUUAAGCUUAAAGGUGGUGGAUCAGAUGCUGAAGCUCGGGUGGGAAUGAAAGUAUAGAAUCAGACCUCAUUGUUACACACGGCAAGAAAAAAAAAUUGUCGGAAAAUCUCAGGUUUGAUUACUUGGAAGUCUAAGGUGAAGUAGCAAGCCGUGGAAAUCUUAAACUCAAAUUGUGAACAUGUUUGUUCGUCUGUAACAUAUUUUUUUUUGUGGAGAUGGUUUAUAGAGAGAUCAAAGGCCUGUUGAGAUUGGCGAGGUAUACACACCGGAGCUUCCUUUUUUUUUUCUCCCCAUUGAGUUUGUUUGUUGGUUAUGUCUGUGAUAAAUUGGCCUCUUUACUGAUGAUUUUAAUAUAUAUUCAUUUAUACAGAGCAAAUUUA